UACAGAGGGGGCGAGCGUUGUUCGGAAUUACUGGGCGUAAAGGGCGCGUAGGCGGCCUCUUAAGUCGAACGUGAAAUCCCCGGGCUCAACCCGGGAACUGCGUCCGAUACUGGGAGGCUUGAAUCCGGGAGAGGGAUGUGGAAUUCCAGGUGUAGCGGUGAAAUGCGUAGAUAUCUGGAGGAACACCGGUGGCGAAGGCGGCAUCCUGGACCGGUAUUGACGCUGAGGCGCGAAAGCCAGGGGAGCAAACAGG
rnacentral:rRNA from 1 species